rnacentral:rRNA from 1 species
GUGGGGAAUAUUGGACAAUGGGCGAAAGCCUGAUCCAGCCAUGCCGCGUGUGUGAAGAAGGUCUUCGGAUUGUAAAGCACUUUAAGUUGGGAGGAAGGGCAGUAAGUUAAUACCUUGCUGUUUUGACGUUACCGACAGAAUAAGCACCGGCUAACUUCGUGCCAGCAGCCGCGGUAAUACGAAGGGUGCAAGCGUUAAUCGGAAUUACUGGGCGUAAAGCGCGCGUAGGUGGUUUUGUAAGUUGGAGGUGAAAUCCCCGGGCUCAACCUGGGAACUGCCUCAAAAACUGCAUGACUAGAGUACGGUAGAGGGUAGUGGAAUUUCCUGUGUAGCGGUGAAAUGCGUAGAUAUAGGAAGGAACACCAGUGGCGAAGGCGACUACCUGGACUGAUACUGACACUGAGGUGCGAAAGCGUGGGGAGCAAACAGGAUUAGAUACCUUUGUAGUCC